AAAUUGAAGAGUUUGAUCAUGGCUCAGAUUGAACGCUGGCGGCAGGCCUAACACAUGCAAGUCGAGCGGUAGCACAGAGAGCUUGCUCUCGGGUGACGAGCGGCGGACGGGUGAGUAAUGUCUGGGAAACUGCCUGAUGGAGGGGGAUAACUACUGGAAACGGUAGCUAAUACCGCAUAACGUCGCAAGACCAAAGUGGGGGACCUUCGGGCCUCAUGCCAUCAGAUGUGCCCAGAUGGGAUUAGCUAGUAGGUGGGGUAACGGCUCACCUAGGCGACGAUCCCUAGCUGGUCUGAGAGGAUGACCAGCCACACUGGAACUGAGACACGGUCCAGACUCCUACGGGAGGCAGCAGUGGGGAAUAUUGCACAAUGGGCGCAAGCCUGAUGCAGCCAUGCCGCGUGUGUGAAGAAGGCCUUCGGGUUGUAAAGCACUUUCAGCGGGGAGGAAGGCGGUGAGGUUAAUAACCUCAUCGAUUGACGUUACCCGCAGAAGAAGCACCGGCUAACUCCGUGCCAGCAGCCGCGGUAAUACGGAGGGUGCAAGCGUUAAUCGGAAUUACUGGGCGUAAAGCGCACGCAGGCGGUCUGUCAAGUCGGAUGUGAAAUCCCCGGGCUCAACCUGGGAACUGCAUUCGAAACUGGCAGGCUAGAGUCUUGUAGAGGGGGUAGAAUUCCAGGUGUAGCGGUGAAAUGCGUAGAGAUCUGGAGGAAUACCGGUGGCGAAGGCGGCCCCCUGGACAAAGACUGACGCUCAGGUGCGAAAGCGUGGGGAGCAAACAGGAUUAGAUACCCUGGUAGUCCACGCCGUAAACGAUGUCGAUUUGGAGGUUGUGCCCUUGAGGCGUGGCUUCCGGAGCUAACGCGUUAAAUCGACCGCCUGGGGAGUACGGCCGCAAGGUUAAAACUCAAAUGAAUUGACGGGGGCCCGCACAAGCGGUGGAGCAUGUGGUUUAAUUCGAUGCAACGCGAAGAACCUUACCUGGUCUUGACAUCCACAGAACUUUCCAGAGAUGGAUUGGUGCCUUCGGGAACUGUGAGACAGGUGCUGCAUGGCUGUCGUCAGCUCGUGUUGUGAAAUGUUGGGUUAAGUCCCGCAACGAGCGCAACCCUUAUCCUUUGUUGCCAGCGGUUCGGCCGGGAACUCAAAGGAGACUGCCAGUGAUAAACUGGAGGAAGGUGGGGAUGACGUCAAGUCAUCAUGGCCCUUACGACCAGGGCUACACACGUGCUACAAUGGCAUAUACAAAGAGAAGCGACCUCGCGAGAGCAAGCGGACCUCAUAAAGUAUGUCGUAGUCCGGAUUGGAGUCUGCAACUCGACUCCAUGAAGUCGGAAUCGCUAGUAAUCGUAGAUCAGAAUGCUACGGUGAAUACGUUCCCGGGCCUUGUACACACCGCCCGUCACACCAUGGGAGUGGGUUGCAAAAGAAGUAGGUAGCUUAACCUUCGGGAGGGCGCUUACCACUUUGUGAUUCAUGACUGGGGUGAAGUCGUAACAAGGUAACCGUAGGGGAACCUGCGGUUGGAUCACCUCCUUA
rnacentral:rRNA from 1 species